rnacentral:rRNA from 1 species
AACGGCUGGCGGCGCGCCUAACACAUGGCAAGUCGAACGGAGAUACCAUGUGAGCGGAGAGUGCUUGCACUUACAAUCUUUGGUAUCUUAGUGGCGGACGGGUGAGUAACGCUGGGUAACCUGCCUCAUACAGGGGGAUAACACUUAGAAAUAGGUGCUAAUACCGCAUAAGCGCACAGAGUCGCAUGACUCAGUGUGAAAAACUCCGGUGGUAUGAGAUGGACCCGCGUCUGAUUAGCUAGUUGGUGAGGUAACGGCUCACCAAGGCGACGAUCAGUAGCCGGCCUGAGAGGGUGAACGGCCACAUUGGGACUGAGACACGGCCCAAACUCCUACGGGAGGCAGCAGUGGGGAAUAUUGCACAAUGGGGGAAACCCUGAUGCAGCGACGCCGCGUGAGUGAAGAAGUAUUUCGGUAUGUAAAGCUCUAUCAGCAGGGAAGAAGAAUGACGGUACCUGACUAAGAAGCCCCGGCUAACUACGUG